rnacentral:misc_RNA from 1 species
GAUGAAGAACGUAGCGAAAUGCGAUAAGUAAUGUGAAUUGCAGAAUUCAGUGAAUCAUCGAAUCUUUGAACGCACAUUGCGCCCCCUGGUAUUCCGGGGGGCAUGCCUGUCCGAGCGUCAUUACAACCCUCAAGCUCAGCUUGGUGUUGGGCCCCGCCGCCCCGGCGGGCCCUAAAGUCAGUGGCGGUGCCGUCCGGCUCCGAGCGUAGUAAUUCUUCUCGCUCUGGAGGUCCGGUCGUGUGCUCGCCAGCAACCCCCAAUUUUUUUCAGGUUGACCUCGGAUCAGGUAGGGAUACCCGCUGAACUUAAGCAUAUCAAUAAGUGGAGGA